rnacentral:rRNA from 1 species
UACGUAGGGUGCAAGCGUUGUCCGGAAUUAUUGGGCGUAAAGAGCUCGUAGGCGGUUUGUCGCGUCUGCUGUGAAAACUCGGGGCUCAACCCCGAGCCUGCAUUCGAUACGGGCAGACUAGAGUUCGGUAGGGGAGACUGGAAUUCCUGGUGUAGCGGUGAAAUGCGCAGAUAUCAGGAGGAACACCGGUGGCGAAGGCGGGUCUCUGGGCCGAUACUGACGCUGAGGAGCGAAAGCGUGGGGAGCAAACAGG